rnacentral:rRNA from 1 species
AUUGAACGCUGGCGGCAGGCCUAACACAUGCAAGUCGAGCGGUAACACAGGGAGCUUGCUCCUGGGUGACGAGCGGCGGACGGGUGAGUAAUGUCUGGGAAACUGCCUGAUGGAGGGGGAUAACUACUGGAAACGGUAGCUAAUACCGCAUAAUGUCGCAAGACCAAAGAGGGGGACCUUCGGGCCUCUGGCCAUCAGAUGUGCCCAGAUGGGAUUAGCUAGUAGGUGGGGUAACGGCUCACCUAGGCGACAAUCCCUAGCUGGUCUGAGAGGAUGACCAGCCACACUGGAACUGAGACACGGUCCAGACUCCUACGGGAGGCAGCAGUGGGGAAUAUUGCACAAUGGGCGCAAGCCUGAUGCAGCCAUGCCGCGUGUAUGAAGAAGGCCUUCGGGUUGUAAAGUACUUUCAGCGGGGAGGAAGGCGUUGAGGUUAAUAACCUCAGCGAUUGACGUUACCCGCAGAAGAAGCACCGGCUAACUCCGUGCCAGCCGCCGCAGUAA